AGCGAACGCUGGCGGCAGGCUUAACACAUGCAAGUCGAGCGGACCUUUCGGGGUCAGCGUCGGACGGGUGAGUAACGCGUGGGAACGUGCCUUCCGGUUCGGAAUAACCCUGGGAAACUAGGGCCAAUACCGGAUACGCCCUUAUGGGGAAAGGUUUACUGCCGGAAGAUCGGCCCGCGUCUGAUUAGCUAGUUGGUGGGGUAACGGCCUACCAAGGCGACGAUCAGUAGCUGGUCUGAGAGGAUGAUCAGCCACACUGGGACUGAGACACGGCCCAGACUCCUACGGGAGGCAGCAGUGGGGAAUAUUGGACAAUGGGCGCAAGCCUGAUCCAGCCAGGCCGCGUGAGUGAUGAAGGCCUUAGGGUUGUAAAGCUCUUUUAUCCGGGACGAUAAUGACGGUACCGGAGGAAUAAGCCCCGGCUAACUUCGUG
rnacentral:rRNA from 1 species